GGGGCUGUAGCUCAGUGGUAAAGCGCCCGCCUCACACGUGUGAGGCACUGAGUUCAAUUCUCAGCACCACA
rnacentral:tRNA from 1 species